AUUUUAUAUCAUUCUUAAAAAUUUUCAAUCUCCAGCAACCGGCACUCGAUUCUUUUAGCCAUUUGUUCACUACUUCACUCAAUACUUUACUCAAACCAUGCUUCCAUGCACAAGACUACUACAACCAAGGCCAUCACAAAUCCUCCCAGGAUCACAUCCCCACCUGCCGCCCCAGAGGAAUGAUGCCUUUGUACUCUUCUCGUGGCUCUCAUCACUGGAGCUUCUGCCAUCAUGCUUGAUCGGAUCCCACCUUCAGAUGGAGCCGGGCUCAGAGCAGGCGGAUAUAAACUUCUCUCUGUCGGUAAUCCUGACAUGCCCGAAUCAUCAUUUGCCCAUGUCUCAGCCACGAACAUGAAAAACAUGGCUAUUGCAAAAUACAUGACUGGAUGCAGCCAAGCCAUGUAAUUGCUGCCUCGAAGGAUUCUUGGACCAAGAUGCAGAGCAAUGCAAAUGUAUGAGAAAAGAGAGGUUUAUAUAUAAGGGAACGGGUAGGAUUGAAUUGAUCCCUUCUUUGUAAAGUAAUCUCGAAAAAGCUGGUACGACCAUGGUCUAAAGACUAAAAAUCAAUGAGAGAAUGGAGAAAAACUUAGGCAGAUACUUUAGCAUUUAUCAGGGGAGGUUGUGUUUGGAUAGGCUUGAUCUGGGGAAACAUCUUAGGACCAUGUAUUGAGACUUUUAAGUCAUUAUUUUUAUAUGCAGUCAGAGAAGAAGAUGGAUUGUCAGCUUACAUAAGACAAGCAAGAACAACUGUCUUUAUAACGCAGUCUCAGGAUCGUUCAGCACUCUUGUGAAGAAGAAUAGUAUUAAAUUAGAUGCUUUCUUCCCUUUUGCAGGGAAUACCUCUCUGUCUUGUUGGAUAUGUAAUGCUCUAUUACGAUGGGACAAGCGUGCACCGACUGUAAACAAAUCAGUGAAUCGGAAUAUGAUAAAUCUCAGCUGCAAAAUCAUAGUCACAUGGAAAUGAACAGAUUGGGAAGUUUGUAUCGUGAUGUAAAAUACGAAAAGAGUUUUGAGUGAGUCCGUCCUGAGGCAAGAGUCAGAUCACAUUAUAAAACUCUGUUUGGUAUCUCAUGUUCCUGAUUUCUUUUAUUGCC